AUGAAAUUACUUUUUUACCCAGGAACAACAAAGAGUUUUUCUCCUGGAUAUUGUAUACACAUAAACAAAGCUACAUUUCUUUCCUUAUGUUUAGUGACCCUAGUCUUAGUAGUUAUCUCAACAGUGAGCUGUGUGUUAGAUUAAAAAAGAUGAAGCAGAUGACAUAAUAAUUCGGUGUAACAGAUGUUUGAAGAUUCAUGUAACAAAUUUUUUAAUAAAGUAAAAAUAAUAAAAAGUUCUACUGUGUAGAACUCUUUAUUAAUAAAAUGAUAAAAUAAAAUACAAAACAUAAAAAACCAACACCUUAAACUAUUCCGUACAACAGUCGAAUUUUCUUAUAUUGAAAUUAUAUUUCUUUGAUGAUGACCAGUAUUUUAUUUUCAAUUUGAAGGACGAAGGGCUAUGUACAUUCGGAAAAGUUUAACACAUUUCUCAGUAAUUACGCUGCGGAUCGAGAGACAACACCAUCAAGAAUUAAAAUCUGGUACUUUUUUCCUUCGUAUAACUAUAUUGUUUAAUGUAAAACUCACUAGGGUGAAUAAAAUUUGAAUAGCUUGUUAGGUUUGAAAGAAAUUAUAAACACAACAUGAGAAACGGACACAGAAAAUCAAAACAGUGCAAUAUAUCAAUUCAAAAUAUUGUCAAUGUCACCAAGAUUUAUAGAGGGUAUAGAGAAGGAAGAGUAUCUUUUAAUAUAGAGAAUUUUGAAAAGUUCCAAGCUUCGUAUGAUAGAUAACAGUUCAAAAACCUUCCAGAAUGGCGCUGGUGUAGAUAAUAGCUAUGGUAUUAAUAUAGCAAUUCAAGUAUGCAGAGCUAAAAAAUAUAACAAAAAAAUUAUUAUGAGAAAACUUGCACCUAGAGUGAUUUUAUUUCGUAUUUUCUCACUAAUAAUAUUCGGCGCUUCCUUUAAAAUUUACCCUGUUGCUAAUGUGGCACCAUCCUUAUUUAAUGCAUUUUGAAGGAUACUUUUCAUAUAUACAAAUUGUUCUCCUUCUCUCCAUCCUCCAUACCAAGAUGAAAGCUUUAUAGAAUACCUACACACUUGCUGUAGAUCACGUAUCAGAUGAGAAUCCUAACCCAGAACCAGAUUUUGAUUACAAUUUCCGAACGAUGCUUUUAAUUUUAGGUGGAAAUUUUAAAUUUAAAACAUGAGCUACUAAAGCUUUUAUUUAUAUAUUUUAAAUUUUAAAGAACGAAAAAAAUCGUGCAAUUUCUAUAAGGUAGUGCUUUUGGUUAACCUUUUGAAUAAAUACAAAGAAAGGGAUACAGUAACUUAGAAGAAAAAUGAGAAAAAAUAAAAA